AGUGAACGCUGGCGGUAGGCCUAACACAUGCAAGUCGAACGGCAGCACAGUAAGAGCUUGCUCUUACGGGUGGCGAGUGGCGGACGGGUGAGGAAUACACCGGAAUCUACUUUUUCGUGGGGGAUAACGUAGGGAAACUUACGCUAAUACCGCAUACGACCUACGGGUGAAAGCAGGGGAUCUUCUGACCUUGCGCGAUUGAAUGAGCCGAUGUCGGAUUAGCUAGUUGGCGGGGUAAAGGCCCACCAAGGCGACGAUCCGUAGCUGGUCUGAGAGGAUGAUCAGCCACACUGGAACUGAGACACGGUCCAGACUCCUACGGGAGGCAGCAGUGGGGAAUAUUGGACAAUGGGCGCAAGCCUGAUCCAGCCAUACCGCGUGGGUGAAGAAGGCCUUCGGGUUGUAAAGCCCUUUUGUUGGGAAAGAAAAGCAGCAGGUUAAUACCCCGCUGUUCUGACGGUACCCAAAGAAUAAGCACCGGCUAACUUCGUG
rnacentral:rRNA from 1 species